UACAGAGGGUGCUAGCGUUGUUCGGAAUUAUUGGGCGUAAAGGGCGCGUAGGCGGCCCUGUGUGUCGGGUGUGAAAGCCCACCUCUUAAAGGUGGAAUUGCAUUCGAAACUACAGGGCUGGAGUGUCGGAGAGGAUGGCGGAAUUCCUGGUGUAGAGGUGAAAUUCGUAGAUAUCAGGAGGAACACCGAUGGCGAAGGCGGGUCUCUGGGCCGAUAUCGACG
rnacentral:rRNA from 1 species